GUAUGUGUAUUAUGGACCAGAGUGGCUUGAGACAACUGAAACUGUCUUAUCAUUAAAAAGUUGUAUUUUUGUACAUUUCCAUCCUUCUACCCUUUAGGACAAGCCCAUUAUUCGGAAGUCCAGAAACCGUGAAAUCCAGCUGUAUGAACUCUCUAACUUGGAGCCGUACCGUCAGGUUGGUGGCCAGGAAGCUGUCGCGCUGAAACUGA
rnacentral:lncRNA from 1 species